rnacentral:rRNA from 1 species
GUACACUCCUACGGGAGGCAGCAGUGGGGAAUAUUGGACAAUGGGCGCAAGCCUGAUCCAGCCAUGCCGCGUGAGUGAUGAAGGCCCUAGGGUUGUAAAGCUCUUUCACCGGUGAAGAUAAUGACGGUAACCGGAGAAGAAGCCCCGGCUAACUUCGUGCCAGCAGCCGCGGUAAUACGAAGGGGGCUAGCGUUGUUCGGAUUUACUGGGCGUAAAGCGCACGUAGGCGGACUAUUAAGUCAGGGGUGAAAUCCCGGGGCUCAACCCCGGAACUGCCUUUGAUACUGGUAGACUUGAGUUCGAGAGAGGUGAGUGGAAUUCCGAGUGUAGAGGUGAAAUUCGUAGAUAUUCGGAGGAACACCAGUGGCGAAGGCGGCUCACUGGCUCGAUACUGACGCUGAGGUGCGAAAGCGUGGGGAGCAAACAGGAUUAGAAACCCUAGUAGUCCC